rnacentral:rRNA from 1 species
GAUGAACGCUGGCGGCGUGCCUAAUACAUGCAAGUCGAGCGAACAGAUGAGGGGCUUGCUCCUCUGACGUUAGCGGCGGACGGGUGAGUAACACGUGGAUAACCUACCUAUAAGACUGGGAUAACUUCGGGAAACCGGAGCUAAUACCGGAUAAUAUAUUGAACCGCAUGGUUCAAUAGUGAAAGACGGUUUUGCUGUCACUUAUAGAUGGAUCCGCGCCGCAUUAGCUAGUUGGUAAGGUAACGGCUUACCAAGGCAACGAUGCGUAGCCGACCUGAGAGGGUGAUCGGCCACACUGGAACUGAGACACGGUCCAGACUCCUACGGGAGGCAGCAGUAGGGAAUCUUCCGCAAUGGGCGAAAGCCUGACGGAGCAACGCCGCGUGAGUGAUGAAGGUCUUCGGAUCGUAAAACUCUGUUAUUAGGGAAGAACAAAUGUGUAAGUAACUAUGCACGUCUUGGCGGUACCUAAUCAGAAAGCCACGGCUAACUACGUG